AGAGUUUGAUCCUGGCUCAGGAUGAACGCUGGCGGCGUGCCUAAUACAUGCAAGUAGAACGCUGAAGCUUGGUGCUUGCACCGAGCGGAUGAGUUGCGAACGGGUGAGUAACGCGUAGGUAACCUGCCUGGUAGCGGGGGAUAACUAUUGGAAACGAUAGCUAAUACCGCAUAAAAGUCGACAUCGCAUGAUGUUGACUUGAAAGGUGCAAUUGCAUCACUAAGAGAUGGACCUGCGUUGUAUUAGCUAGUUGGUGAGGUAACGGCUCACCAAGGCGACGAUACAUAGCCGACCUGAGAGGGUGAUCGGCCACACUGGGACUGAGACACGGCCCAGACUCCUACGGGAGGCAGCAGUAGGGAAUCUUCGGCAAUGGGGGCAACCCUGACCGAGCAACGCCGCGUGAGUGAAGAAGGUUUUCGGAUCGUAAAGCUCUGUUGUAAGAGAAGAACGAGUGUGAGAGUGGAAAGUUCACACUGUGACGGUAACUUACCAGAAAGGGACGGCUAACUACGUGCCAGCAGCCGCGGUAAUACGUAGGUCCCGAGCGUUAUCCGGAUUUAUUGGGCGUAAAGCGAGCGCAGGCGGUUAGAUAAGUCUGAAGUUAAAGGCUGUGGCUUAACCAUAGUACGCUUUGGAAACUGUUUAACUUGAGUGCAGAAGGGGAGAGUGGAAUUCCAUGUGUAGCGGUGAAAUGCGUAGAUAUAUGGAGGAACACCGGUGGCGAAAGCGGCUCUCUGGUCUGUAACUGACGCUGAGGCUCGAAAGCGUGGGGAGCAAACCAGGAUUAGAUACCCUGGUAGUCCACGCCGUAAACGAUGA
rnacentral:rRNA from 1 species